GAAGCGAUGAUGAGUUUAGAAUAGAGGUUUGGGCAGUGGCGAGACGCAUCAGUCAUCUCGCCGUGAGCCUUUCCCCAUUAUUAAACGACUUCUCCUUCCACUGAGCUCC